rnacentral:rRNA from 1 species
CGAUUGUGAUUUCACAUAAUAAAUACUGAAGUUCAGUACUAGCUCCAAGGUGAGUAGUUCAAUUACUGACAAUGCAGGUAAUUAAGUGGUUAGCUAAAAUGAUAAGGAGUUGAUGUAUUCACUCUAGUCAUGUGUCUGAUUUCCUGAAAGUUGUUAAUCUGUCGGAUGCAUAUUUUUUCCUAGAUGCCCCCACUCCUCCAUCGCCAGGUUCUCCAUCUUCUUAGAUCCCUCCCUGCCAUGACGAACAUCUCCCUUGACGCCGGAAACUGCAUUUUGUGUUCACUAACCUACCGAUCCUCUAGAGGCCCACUAUCCAGAUUUGAUGUGAUAGGGUACAACAUGUAAAUAUAUAUAAUUCAGCUAUCCAUGAUCUAUCAAUCUUACCAAGAUGGUUUUUAUCUUAUAGGACAUCAUAAGUGCAAAUAGGAGUUGAAAGAAAGCAUGUUCCAGCAGAAAAAAAUGUUUAUGUGCACACAACUUAAGUAGCGAACGCUGAAUGUCAAGAGCUCGAUGAGAAGGUUCGCAAUAUUUGGAAUAUCCUGAGUACAUGCGGUGUACAUCCGCUGAAAAUUACAAUCGAAACCAAACAACCAGGCUUAUGUCGUAAGUUAACUAUGAUCAGAGGGUCGACCGGUCUGAUCCCGCGUCUGGGCUCGCCCCACUCCUUGCCCGCCACCAGCAACGAUGCGUCCUUCCCAUCACUCCACCACCUUAUAGCCAAGAGGACCAGACGCCUCUUUGCCUCAUGUUCUACCAGCGCUCAAGGCAAAGAUGUAGCCCUUCGAGACCUACAAUGACAAUAUCAGAUUUCUCCACACCUACAAGAACUUAAGUGGCUUUCUUGAUUCCUAAUGGUGAGAUUCUCCAUGUCCAGUACUGUACCAUAAAUAACUUCAAUAUGUAUUAAAUAGUGCUGAUGAAUGCGUGGGUGGGGAAAUGUAUAAUUCAGCACAUUUCUCAGUUCUAUAGGAAGUUUUAUCCUUGAGCUGGACCAUCAGGUAUCCACCUCUGAAACCACACUUCUGGUGUCCCCCUCUUUUUUUACCUCAAGUAUGGAUUACCC